rnacentral:rRNA from 1 species
AGAGUUUGAUCCUGGCUCAGGAUGAACGCUAGCGGUAGGCUUAACACAUGCAAGUCGAGGGGUAACGAUAUCUUCGGAUAGGCGACGACCGGCGCACGGGUGAGUAUCGCGUAUGCAACCUACCUAAAGCUGGAACAUAGCCCCCGGAAACGGGGAUUAAUAUUCCAUAAUGUUCAAAUACCUCCUGGUAUAUGAACCAAAGCUCCGGCGGCUUUAGAUGGGCAUGCGUGACAUUAGUUUGUUGGUGAGGUAACGGCUCACCAAGACUACGAUGUCUAGGGGGUCUUAAAGGAUGAUCCCCCACACUGGUACUGAGACACGGACCAGACUCCUACGGGAGGCAGCAGUGAGGAAUAUUGGUCAAUGGGCGCAAGCCUGAACCAGCCAAGCCGCGUGCAGGAUGACGGCCCUAUGGGUUGUAAACUGCUUUUAUACAGGAAGAAACCUCUGACGUGUCAGAGACUGACUGUACUGUAUGAAUAAGCAUCGGCUAACUCCGUGCCAGCAGCCGCGGUAAUACGGAGGAUGCAAGCGUUAUCCGGAUUUAUUAGGUUUAAAGGGUGCGUAGGCGGAUUUAUAAGUCAGUGGUGAAAUCCUACAGCUUAACUGUAGAACUGCCAUUGAUACUGUAGAUCUUGAGUACAAUUGAGGUAGGCGGAAUGUGUGGUGUAGCGGUGAAAUGCUUAGAUAUCACACAGAACACCGAUUGCGAAGGCAGCUUACUAAACUGUAACUGACGCUGAUGCACGAAAGCAUGGGGAGCAAACAGGAUUAGAUACCCUGGUAGUCCAUGCCGUAAACGAUGAUCACUCGCUGUUUGCCCGUUAGGGUAAGUGGCCAAGCAAAAGCAUUAAGUGAUCCACCUGGGGAGUACGUCGGCAACGAUGAAACUCAAAGGAAUUGACGGGGGCCCGCACAAGCGGUGGAACAUGUGGUUUAAUUCGAUGAUACGCGAGGAACCUUACCUGGGUUUAAAUGCAGGACGAAAGUCACGUGAAAGCGAGACCCUCCUUCGGGACGUCCUACAAGGUGCUGCAUGGUUGUCGUCAGCUCGUGCCGUGAGGUGUCGGGUUAAGUCCCAUAACGAGCGCAACCCCUAUCGUUAGUUACCAGCGGAUAAUGCCGGGGACUCUAACGAGACUGCCACCGUAAGGUGAGAGGAAGGUGGGGAUGACGUCAAAUCAGCACGGCCCUUAUAUCCAGGGCUACACACGUGUUACAAUGGCCGGUACAAAGGGCAGCUACUUGGUAACAAGAUGCAAAUCUCGAAAACCGGUCUCAGUUCGGAUCGAAGUCUGCAACUCGACUUCGUGAAGUUGGAAUCGCUAGUAAUCGCGCAUCAGCAACGGCGCGGUGAAUACGUUCCCGGGCCUUGUACACACCGCCCGUCAAGCCAUGGAAGCCGGGGGUGCCUGAAGUCUGUAACCGCAAGGAGCGGCCUAAGGUAAAACUGGUGACUGGGGCUAAGUCGUAACAAGGUA